CCAAUCGUUCCUCCCUGCUGCGACUGCUCCACUGGGCAAACAAGCUUUUCCAAGGGAAAGCCAGUUAUUUUAAUUGGAAUGAAUGGAAGAUACAACCUCUUCCUUCCAUCAGUAAACUGCUCCUGUGGAAAAACCUUGCCAGUGACCAUAAGUGAUCUGGUUGAAAGUGGUUACUGACCAGCCACUGUCAAUUUUGAGACCUUGUACAUGGUGGACUUGUUCACCACGUAUGAGGAUCUAAAAAUCACUGCCCCAUGGAUGUCAAGAUAAGCUUUUGUCAGCAUGCUCGAGUAUCGUACAAAACUCUUCGGGCGAGGAGGUAAGAUAUGUGGGGACACAAUGCAGAGGGCCUUCCUCGAAUGGACCUAUGCCAAAUUUGAGGUUGACAAGCUGUCUCAGAUCCAGCAUUUUCAGUGCCCUGCAUGCACACCCUCCAUGUUGGCAGUUGCAGUGGAUGGGAACCGCAAAUUAUAUCAUUUCAAAAGUCAACCAGGACCUGAUGGGUUUUUUGAUGGAGUCUUUUUGGCCAAUGAUGCUGAGGUUGAUUUACAUCCAUGGAACAACUGGACAUAAUCCAGGGAAAGGGAGAUGUGGUGCGGGUCAGUGGACCGCAGCACGAGAGUCCACCAACAAGUCUGCAAGCAAACUAGCCGAGGAAGGUGUUGAAGUUGCUGUCUGCCGUCAUGGGGUUUUGCUGA